UUAGACGUUCUAGAAACAAGCACAGAAAAAGCUAAGAGCAUGAAAACCUGUGCUAAAACUGCUGCCUUAGAUAUUCUUGCUGAUAAAUGUCAAGAAAAACCUCUUAGUGGCAAAUACCCAAAGAUAUCUAAUAAUGCCUAUGUUGACAAAGCCCUUACCGAUUAAUGGUUAGUGUUUUGUGGCUUAAAAUCAGAAACAGAAGGGUUUAUCAUAGCAACCCAAGAUCAAUGCUUACCUACAAGGAGCUAUCAGGCCAACAUAUUAACGAACGACAAUAGCCGG